rnacentral:siRNA from 1 species
UUGAUUCAGGAGCAACUAGUAA